rnacentral:rRNA from 1 species
AUGAAGGCCCUCUGGGUUGUAAACUUCUUUUAUCUGGGAAGAAACCACUCUUUUCUAAGGGUGUUGACGGUACCAGUUGAAUAAGCACCGGCUAACUCCGUGC